rnacentral:lncRNA from 1 species
CACUCUCUGCUGAUAUAACUGACCAUGACAUCACGGCAGUUGAUCUCUUCUUUCUUUCAGUCGAAUUCAGCAUCAGUCAACUUGGGACUUUGAGGGUGCUAUUUCUCUUUUGUUUUUUUCUUUCUUUUUCUUUCUUUUGAUUUGCUUUUGAUUUGGAUUUCUUUUGAUUUUGCUUUCUUUUGAUUUCUUUUGAUUUUGCACCCUCUUCUUUUUUUUUUUUUUUGUUUCUUUUUUUUUUGAUGCCCCAGUUGGCUGUUCUGCUGAUUCUCGAGAUGCAGCUGAGUGAUCUUCUUUUCUUGCUCAAGAAGUCGGGAAAUACCGUCAGGAAUUCCUUCAACAU